rnacentral:rRNA from 1 species
ACAUAACUGAUGCCUCCGCGUAUCGACUUUGUGCGCAUUUUAGCUAUUAUGUGUUCUUUUAAUUAAAAUGAUUCUUUUUAAGAUUCAUCUAUUAAAAAUUUGCUUCGGCAUAAUUUUUUUUGAUGAUCCUGUUACUUUGAGUAAAUUAGAGUGUUCAAAGCAAACAGAUAUAGCAUUUGUGCGUUUGAAUACUACAGCAUGGAAUAACAAAAUUGAACAAGUCAGAAUUUUUUUGUUCUUUUUUCUUAUUUUGGCUUAGUUACGAUUAAUAGGAGUAGCUUGGGGGCAUUUGUAUCCAGAUGUCAGAGGUGAAAUUCUUAGAUUUUCUGGAGACAAACAACUGCGAAAGCAUUUGCCUAAAAUACUUCCAUUAAUCAAGAACGAAAGUUAAGGGAGUGAAGACGAUCAGAUACCGUCGUAAUCUUAACCAUAAACUAUGCCGACUAGGCUUUGGAUGAAAGAUUUUAAAAUAAGAGUUUUUCUUUUCUCUCCGGAGAUUAGGACUCUUAGAUUGCUUCCUUCAGUGCCUUAUGAGAAAUCAAAGUCUUUGGGUUCUGGGGCGAGUAUUCGCGCAAGCGAGAAAGUUAAAAGAAUUGACGGAAGGGCACCACCAGGCGUGGAGCUUGCGGCUUAAUUUGACUCAACACGGGAAAACUCACUAGUUUAAGACAAGAGUAGGAUUGACAGAUUAAUAGCUCUUUCUUGAUUUCUUGGAUGGUGAUGCAUGGCCGUUUUUAGUUCGUGAAUAUGAUUUGUCUGGUUAAUUCCGAUAACGAACGAGAUCUUAACCUGCUAAUUAGCGGCAAAUACGAUAUAUUCUUAUGUAGAAUUGAAUAUAGUGGAUUUGUUGGAUUUUGAAGAAAAUAUUGGAAUUACGUUUAAAUGUGAUUCCUUUCCCUUUUCUACUUAAUUUACAUUUCCAUCUAUUUCUUUUUUGCGUGUGAAUGUAUUUGCUUGAUUGUAAAGCUUCUUAGAGGAACGAUGUGUG